rnacentral:tRNA from 1 species
GCAUUGUACGGAAACUCUGCACUCAGAAGGCAGAGGCCACAGGUUCGAAUCCUGUCGGGUGCGCCA